rnacentral:tRNA from 1 species
GGGCCCUUAGCUCAGAUGGUAGAGCGCCUGCAUGGCAUGCAGGAGGUCAGCGGUUCGAUCCCGCUAGGGUCCACCA